rnacentral:misc_RNA from 1 species
GAUGAAGAACGUAGCGAAGUGCGAUAAGUAAUGUGAAUUGCAGAAUUCCGUGAAUCAUCGAAUCUUUGAACGCAAAUUGCACUUUCUGGUAUUCCGGAGAGUAUGCCUGUUUGAGGGUCAGUGUAAUAAAAAUAAAUCGUGGUUGUUUGCCACCUUUUCGUGGUGACGCUUCGGAAUUGAGUCGUCUUUACCCCUUCGGGUUAAGUGACUUAAAAUUUUUUCAUACGAUUUCGAAACGUAUUUAAUGCAUUAACGUACGUUCACGAAUAUCGAAUGUUUUAUUAGGUGCGGUCAUUUUCAUGAAUUCGCGUCUAUAUUUUUUUUUUUUGACCUCAAAUCAGGUAAGAGUACCCGCUGAACUUAAGCAUAUCAAUAAGCGGAGGA